UAAUGGAAAAGUAAGGGUUGUUUAGGAUAACAAUGAAUAAUAUAGUCUCUUAUUUCAUGUCACCUCUUCUCAAUCCCAGCUAUUUAAGGCCCCAAGCAAAGGAGUAACCCCCCCACUUGGCCUCAAUUAGAGCCCGUUGGAUAGUAUAUAACAAAGCUAUCAGUUUCCUGAAUCCAUUGGAUAGCAUGUAACAAAGCUAUCAGUUUCUUGAAUCUGAUAGGUAUAGUGGUCUUUUUU
rnacentral:misc_RNA from 1 species